GAUGAACGCUAGCGGCAGGCUUAACACAUGCAAGUCGAGGGGUAUAGUUCUUCGGAGCUAGAGACCGGCGCACGGGUGCGUAACGCGUAUGCAAUCUACCUUUUGCAGAGGGAUAACCCAGAGAAAUUUGGAUUAAUACCUCAUGGUAUGUGAGAAUGGCAUCAUUUUCACAUUAAAGUCACAACGGCAAAAGAUGAGCAUGCGUCCCAUUAGCAAGUUGGUAAGGUAACGGCUUACAAAGGCAACGAUGGGUAGGGGUCCUGAGAGGGAGAUCCCCCACACUGGUACUGGGACGCGGACCAGACUCCUACGGGGGGCAGCAGUGAAGAAUAUUGGACAAUGGGCGCAAGCCUGAUCAAGCCAUGCCGCGUGCAGGAUGACGGUCCUAUGGAUUGUAAACUGCUUUUGUACAGGAAGAAACACUGGUUCGUGAACCAGCUUGACGGUACUGUAAGAAUAAGGAUCGGCUAACUCCGUGCCAGCCGCCGCGGUAAUAC
rnacentral:rRNA from 1 species